UUAAGCGACUAAGCGUACACGGUGGAUGCCCUGGCAGUCAGAGGCGAUGAAGGACGUGCUAAUCUGCGAUAAGCGUCGGUAAGGUGAUAUGAACCGUUAUAACCGGCGAUUUCCGAAUGGGGAAACCCAGUGUGAUUCGUCACACUAUCAUUAACUGAAUCCAUAGGUUAAUGAGGCGAACCGGGGGAACUGAAACAUCUAAGUACCCCGAGGAAAAGAAAUCAACCGAGAUUCCCCCAGUAGCGGCGAGCGAACGGGGAGGAGCCCAGAGCCUGAAUCAGUGUGUGUGUUAGUGGAAGCGUCUGGAAAGGCGCGCGAUACAGGGUGACAGCCCCGUACACAAAAAUGCACAUGCUGUGAGCUCGAUGAGUAGGGCGGGACACGUGGUAUCCUGUCUGAAUAUGGGGGGACCAUCCUCCAAGGCUAAAUACUCCUGACUGACCGAUAGUGAACCAGUACCGUGAGGGAAAGGCGAAAAGAACCCCGGCGAGGGGAGUGAAAAAGAACCUGAAACCGUGUACGUACAAGCAGUGGGAGCCUCUUUAUGGGGUGACUGCGUACCUUUUGUAUAAUGGGUCAGCGACUUAUAUUCUGUAGCAAGGUUAACCGAAUAGGGGAGCCGAAGGGAAACCGAGUCUUAACUGGGCGUUAAGUUGCAGGGUAUAGACCCGAAACCCGGUGAUCUAGCCAUGGGCAGGUUGAAGGUUGGGUAACACUAACUGGAGGACCGAACCGACUAAUGUUGAAAAAUUAGCGGAUGACUUGUGGCUGGGGGGGAAAGGCCAAUCAAACCGGGAGAUAGCUGGUUCUCCCCGAAAGCUAUUUAGGUAGCGCCUCGUGAAUUCAUCUCCGGGGGUAGAGCACUGUUUCGGCAAGGGGGUCAUCCCGACUUACCAACCCGAUGCAAACUGCGAAUACCGGAGAAUGUUAUCACGGGAGACACACGGCGGGUGCUAACGUCCGUCGUGAAGAGGGAAACAACCCAGACCGCCAGCUAAGGUCCCAAAGUCAUGGUUAAGUGGGAAACGAUGUGGGAAGGCCCAGACAGCCAGGAUGUUGGCUUAGAAGCAGCCAUCAUUUAAAGAAAGCGUAAUAGCUCACUGGUCGAGUCGGCCUGCGCGGAAGAUGUAACGGGGCUAAACCAUGCACCGAAGCUGCGGCAGCGACGCUUAUGCGUUGUUGGGUAGGGGAGCGUUCUGUAAGCCUGCGAAGGUGUACUGUGAGGUAUGCUGGAGGUAUCAGAAGUGCGAAUGCUGACAUAAGUAACGAUAAAGCGGGUGAAAAGCCCGCUCGCCGGAAGACCAAGGGUUCCUGUCCAACGUUAAUCGGGGCAGGGUGAGUCGACCCCUAAGGCGAGGCCGAAAGGCGUAGUCGAUGGGAAACAGGUUAAUAUUCCUGUACUUGGUGUUACUGCGAAGGGGGGACGGAGAAGGCUAUGUUGGCCGGGCGACGGUUGUCCCGGUUUAAGCGUGUAGGCUGGUUUUCCAGGCAAAUCCGGAAAAUCAAGGCUGAGGCGUGAUGACGAGGCACUACGGUGCUGAAGUAACAAAUGCCCUGCUUCCAGGAAAAGCCUCUAAGCAUCAGGUAACAUCAAAUCGUACCCCAAACCGACACAGGUGGUCAGGUAGAGAAUACCAAGGCGCUUGAGAGAACUCGGGUGAAGGAACUAGGCAAAAUGGUGCCGUAACUUCGGGAGAAGGCACGCUGAUAUGUAGGUGAAGCCACUUGCGGAUGGAGCUGAAAUCAGUCGAAGAUACCAGCUGGCUGCAACUGUUUAUUAAAAACACAGCACUGUGCAAACACGAAAGUGGACGUAUACGGUGUGACGCCUGCCCGGUGCCGGAAGGUUAAUUGAUGGGGUUAGCGGUAACGCGAAGCUCUUGAUCGAAGCCCCGGUAAACGGCGGCCGUAACUAUAACGGUCCUAAGGUAGCGAAAUUCCUUGUCGGGUAAGUUCCGACCUGCACGAAUGGCGUAAUGAUGGCCAGGCUGUCUCCACCCGAGACUCAGUGAAAUUGAACUCGCUGUGAAGAUGCAGUGUACCCGCGGCAAGACGGAAAGACCCCGUGAACCUUUACUAUAGCUUGACACUGAACAUUGAGCCUUGAUGUGUAGGAUAGGUGGGAGGCUUUGAAGUGUGGACGCCAGUCUGCAUGGAGCCGACCUUGAAAUACCACCCUUUAAUGUUUGAUGUUCUAACGUUGGCCCCUAAUCGGGGUUGCGGACAGUGUCUGGUGGGUAGUUUGACUGGGGCGGUCUCCUCCUAAAGAGUAACGGAGGAGCACGAAGGUUGGCUAAUCCUGGUCGGACAUCAGGAGGUUAGUGCAAUGGCAUAAGCCAGCUUGACUGCGAGCGUGACGGCGCGAGCAGGUGCGAAAGCAGGUCAUAGUGAUCCGGUGGUUCUGAAUGGAAGGGCCAUCGCUCAACGGAUAAAAGGUACUCCGGGGAUAACAGGCUGAUACCGCCCAAGAGUUCAUAUCGACGGCGGUGUUUGGCACCUCGAUGUCGGCUC
rnacentral:rRNA from 1 species